UUAAGCGACUAAGCGUACACGGUGGAUGCCCUGGCAGUCAGAGGCGAUGAAGGACGUGCUAAUCUGCGAUAAGCGUCGGUAAGGUGAUAUGAACCGUUAUAACCGGCGAUUUCCGAAUGGGGAAACCCAGUGUGUUUCGACACACUAUCAUUAACUGAAUCCAUAGGUUAAUGAGGCGAACCGGGGGAACUGAAACAUCUAAGUACCCCGAGGAAAAGAAAUCAACCGAGAUUCCCCCAGUAGCGGCGAGCGAACGGGGAGCAGCCCAGAGCCUGAAUCAGUGUGUGUGUUAGUGGAAGCGUCUGGAAAGGCGCGCGAUACAGGGUGACAGCCCCGUACACAAAAAUGCACAUGCUGUGAGCUCGAUGAGUAGGGCGGGACACGUGGUAUCCUGUCUGAAUAUGGGGGGACCAUCCUCCAAGGCUAAAUACUCCUGACUGACCGAUAGUGAACCAGUACCGUGAGGGAAAGGCGAAAAGAACCCCGGCGAGGGGAGUGAAAAAGAACCUGAAACCGUGUACGUACAAGCAGUGGGAGCCUCUUUAUGGGGUGACUGCGUACCUUUUGUAUAAUGGGUCAGCGACUUAUAUUCUGUAGCAAGGUUAACCGAAUAGGGGAGCCGAAGGGAAACCGAGUCUUAACUGGGCGUUAAGUUGCAGGGUAUAGACCCGAAACCCGGUGAUCUAGCCAUGGGCAGGUUGAAGGUUGGGUAACACUAACUGGAGGACCGAACCGACUAAUGUUGAAAAAUUAGCGGAUGACUUGUGGCUGGGGGUGAAAGGCCAAUCAAACCGGGAGAUAGCUGGUUCUCCCCGAAAGCUAUUUAGGUAGCGCCUCGUGAAUUCAUCUCCGGGGGUAGAGCACUGUUUCGGCAAGGGGGUCAUCCCGACUUACCAACCCGAUGCAAACUGCGAAUACCGGAGAAUGUUAUCACGGGAGACACACGGCGGGUGCUAACGUCCGUCGUGAAGAGGGAAACAACCCAGACCGCCAGCUAAGGUCCCAAAGUCAUGGUUAAGUGGGAAACGAUGUGGGAAGGCCCAGACAGCCAGGAUGUUGGCUUAGAAGCAGCCAUCAUUUAAAGAAAGCGUAAUAGCUCACUGGUCGAGUCGGCCUGCGCGGAAGAUGUAACGGGGCUAAACCAUGCACCGAAGCUGCGGCAGCGACGCUUAUGCGUUGUUGGGUAGGGGAGCGUUCUGUAAGCCUGUGAAGGUGUGCUGUGAGGCAUGCUGGAGGUAUCAGAAGUGCGAAUGCUGACAUAAGUAACGAUAAAGCGGGUGAAAAGCCCGCUCGCCGGAAGACCAAGGGUUCCUGUCCAACGUUAAUCGGGGCAGGGUGAGUCGACCCCUAAGGCGAGGCCGAAAGGCGUAGUCGAUGGGAAACAGGUUAAUAUUCCUGUACUUGGUGUUACUGCGAAGGGGGGACGGAGAAGGCUAUGUUGGCCGGGCGACGGUUGUCCCGGUUUAAGCGUGUAGGCUGAUUUUCCAGGCAAAUCCGGAAAAUCAAGGCUGAGGCGUGAUGACGAGGCACUACGGUGCUGAAGCAACAAAUGCCCUGCUUCCAGGAAAAGCCUCUAAGCAUCAGGUAACAUCAAAUCGUACCCCAAACCGACACAGGUGGUCAGGUAGAGAAUACCAAGGCGCUUGAGAGAACUCGGGUGAAGGAACUAGGCAAAAUGGUGCCGUAACUUCGGGAGAAGGCACGCUGAUAUGUAGGUGAAGUCCCUCGCGGAUGGAGCUGAAAUCAGUCGAAGAUACCAGCUGGCUGCAACUGUUUAUUAAAAACACAGCACUGUGCAAACACGAAAGUGGACGUAUACGGUGUGACGCCUGCCCGGUGCCGGAAGGUUAAUUGAUGGGGUCAGCGCAAGCGAAGCUCUUGAUCGAAGCCCCGGUAAACGGCGGCCGUAACUAUAACGGUCCUAAGGUAGCGAAAUUCCUUGUCGGGUAAGUUCCGACCUGCACGAAUGGCGUAAUGAUGGCCAGGCUGUCUCCACCCGAGACUCAGUGAAAUUGAACUCGCUGUGAAGAUGCAGUGUACCCGCGGCAAGACGGAAAGACCCCGUGAACCUUUACUAUAGCUUGACACUGAACAUUGAGCCUUGAUGUGUAGGAUAGGUGGGAGGCUUUGAAGUGUGGACGCCAGUCUGCAUGGAGCCGACCUUGAAAUACCACCCUUUAAUGUUUAAUGUUCUAACGUGGACCCGUAAUCCGGGUUGCGGACAGUGUCUGGUGGGUAGUUUGACUGGGGCGGUCUCCUCCUAAAGAGUAACGGAGGAGCACGAAGGUUGGCUAAUCCUGGUCGGACAUCAGGAGGUUAGUGCAAUGGCAUAAGCCAGCUUGACUGCGAGCGUGACGGCGCGAGCAGGUGCGAAAGCAGGUCAUAGUGAUCCGGUGGUUCUGAAUGGAAGGGCCAUCGCUCAACGGAUAAAAGGUACUCCGGGGAUAACAGGCUGAUACCGCCCAAGAGUUCAUAUCGACGGCGGUGUUUGGCACCUCGAUGUCGGCUCAUCACAUCCUGGGGCUGAAGUAGGUCCCAAGGGUAUGGCUGUUCGCCAUUUAAAGUGGUACGCGAGCUGGGUUUAGAACGUCGUGAGACAGUUCGGUCCCUAUCUGCCGUGGGCGCUGGAGAACUGAGGGGGGCUGCUCCUAGUACGAGAGGACCGGAGUGGACGCAUCACUGGUGUUCGGGUUGUCAUGCCAAUGGCACUGCCCGGUAGCUAAAUGCGGAAGAGAUAAGUGCUGAAAGCAUCUAAGCACGAAACUUGCCCCGAGAUGAGUUCUCCCUGACUCCUUGAGAGUCCUGAAGGAACGUUGAAGACGAUGACGUUGAUAGGCCGGGUGUGUAAGCGCAGCGAUGCGUUGAGCUAACCGGUACUAAUGAACCGUGAGGCUUAACCUU
rnacentral:rRNA from 1 species